CCUACGGGAGGCAGCAGUGAGGAAUAUUGGUCAAUGGCCGGAAGGCUGAACCAGCCAAGCCGCGUGAAGGACGAAGGUGCCAAGCAUUGUAAACUUCUUUUGUCAAGGGACAAAAUCAGGCUCGAGAGCCUGACCGAGGGUACUUGAAGAAAAAGCAUCGGCUAACUCCGUGCCAGCAGCCGCGGUAAUACGGAGGAUGCGAGCGUUAUCCGGAUUUAUUGGGUUUAAAGGGUGCGUAGGCGGACUGUUAAGUCAGCGGUAAAAGCCCGGGGCUCAACCCCUAGAGUGCAAGUGAUACUGUAUAACUUGAGUGUGAGAGGGGGAAGCGGAAUUCCUAGUGUAGCGGUGAAAUGCGUAGAUAUUAGGAGGAACACCAGUGGCGAAGGCGGUCUGCUGGACAGCAACUGACGGUGAGGCGCGAAAGCGUGGGGAGCAAACAGGAUUAGAUACCCUAGUAGUC
rnacentral:rRNA from 1 species